rnacentral:tRNA from 1 species
GGUUGUGUUCCCGAUCUGCCAAAGGGAGCAGACUGUAAAUCUGCCGUCUUCGACUUGGAAGGUUCGAUUCGUUACCCCUCCACCAUCA